rfam:Ailuropoda melanoleuca scaffold1582_10, whole genome shotgun sequence.
ACCUGGCUGGCUCAGUCGGAAGAGUGUGUGACUGUUGAUCACAGGUCAUGAGUUCAAGCCCCAUGCUGGGUA